CAAAUGACUCUCGGCAAUGGAUAUCUCGGCUCUUGCAUCGAUGGAGAAGUAGUGAAAUGCGAUACUUGGUGUGAAUUGCAGAAUUUCGUGAACCAUUGAGUYUUUGAACGCAAGUUGUGCCCGAGGCCUUGUGGCCGAGGGCAAGCCUGCUUGGGCGUCAUGAC
rnacentral:rRNA from 1 species